rnacentral:rRNA from 1 species
UACAGAGGGUGCAAGCGUUGUCCGGAUUUAUUGGGCGUAAAGAGUUCGUAGGCUUUUCAUUAAGUCACCUUUCAAAGACCAGAGCUCAACUUUGGGAAGGGGGGUGAUACUGGUGGAAUUGAAAAGUUUCGGGGUUACUGGAACUGUUGGUGUAGGAGUGAAAUCCGUUGAUAUCAACAGGAACACCAAGGGCGAAGGCGGGUAACUAGGAACAUUUUGACGCUGAGGGACGAAAGCUAGGGGAGCGAAAGGG